rnacentral:rRNA from 1 species
UACGUAGGGAGCAAGCGUUGUCCGGAAUCAUUGGGCGUAAAGCGCGCGUAGGCGGCCCUGUAAGUCCGUUGUGAAAGUCAAAGGCUCAACCUUUGAAAGCCGAUGGAUACUGCAGGGCUAGAGUCCGGAAGAGGCGAGUGGAAUUCCUGGUGUAGCGGUGGAAUGCGCAGAUAUCAGGAGGAACACCAAUGGCGAAGGCAGCUCGCUGGGACGUGACUGACGCUGAGACGCGAAAGCGUGGGGAGCAAACAGG